GACGAACGUUGGCGGCGCGCCUAAUACAUGCAAGUAGAACGCUGAAGAGAGGAGCUUGCUCUUCUUGGAUGAGUUGCGAACGGGUGAGUAACGCGUAGGUAACCUGCCUUGUAGCGGGGGAUAACUAUUGGAAACGAUAGCUAAUACCGCAUAACAAUGGAUGACACAUGUCAUUUAUUUGAAAGGGGCAAUUGCUCCACUACAAGAUGGACCUGCGUUGUAUUAGCUAGUAGGUGAGGUAACGGCUCACCUAGGCGACGAUACAUAGCCGACCUGAGAGGGUGAUCGGCCACACUGGGACUGAGACACGGCCCAGACUCCUACGGGAGGCAGCAGUAGGGAAUCUUCGGCAAUGGGGGCAACCCUGACCGAGCAACGCCGCGUGAGUGAAGAAGGUUUUCGGAUCGUAAAGCUCUGUUGUAAGUCAAGAACGAGUGUGAGAGUGGAAAGUUCACACUGUGACGGUAGCUUACCAGAAAGGGACGGCUAACUACGUGCCAGCAGCCGCGGUAAUACGUAGGUCCCGAGCGUUGUCCGGAUUUAUUGGGCGUAAAGCGAGCGCAGGCGGUUUGAUAAGUCUGAAGUUAAAGGGCUGUGGCUCAACCAUAGUUCGCUUUGGAAACUGUCAAACUUGAGUGCAGAAGGGGAGAGUGGAAUUCCAUGUGUAGCGGUGAAAUGCGUAGAUAUAUGGAGGAACACCGGUGGCGAAAGCGGCUCUCUGGUCUGUAACUGACGCUGAGGCUCGAAAGCGUGGGGAGCGAACAGGAUUAGAUACCCUGGUAGUCCACGCCGUAAACGAUGAGUGCUAGGUGUUGGAUCCUUUCCGGGAUUCAGUGCCGCAGCUAACGCAUUAAGCACUCCGCCUGGGGAGUACGACCGCAAGGUUGAAACUCAAAGGAAUUGACGGGGGCCCGCACAAGCGGUGGAGCAUGUGGUUUAAUUCGAAGCAACGCGAAGAACCUUACCAGGUCUUGACAUCCCGAUGCUAUUUCUAGAGAUAGAAAGUUACUUCGGUACAUCGGUGACAGGUGGUGCAUGGUUGUCGUCAGCUCGUGUCGUGAGAUGUUGGGUUAAGUCCCGCAACGAGCGCAACCCCUAUUGUUAGUUGCCAUCAUUCAGUUGGGCACUCUAGCGAGACUGCCGGUAAUAAACCGGAGGAAGGUGGGGAUGACGUCAAAUCAUCAUGCCCCUUAUGACCUGGGCUACACACGUGCUACAAUGGUUGGUACAACGAGUUGCGAGUCGGUGACGGCAAGCUAAUCUCUUAAAGCCAAUCUCAGUUCGGAUUGUAGGCUGCAACUCGCCUACAUGAAGUCGGAAUCGCUAGUAAUCGCGGAUCAGCACGCCGCGGUGAAUACGUUCCCGGGCCU
rnacentral:rRNA from 1 species